rnacentral:rRNA from 1 species
UUAUGGCUCAGGACGAACGCUGGCGGCGUGCCUAAUACAUGCAAGUCGAGCGGACCGACGGGAGCUUGCUCCCUAGGUCAGCGGCGGACGGGUGAGUAACACGUGGGUAACCUGCCUGUAAGACUGGGAUAACUCCGGGAAAACCGGGGCUAAUACCGGAUGCUUGAUUGAACCGCAUGGUUCAAUUAUAAAAGGUGGCUUUUUAGCUACCACUUACAGAUGGACCCGCGGCGCAUUAGCUAGUUGGUGAGGUAACGGCUCACCAAGGCGACGAUGCGUAGCCGACCUGAGAGGGUGAUCGGCCACACUGGGACUGAGACACGGCCCAGACUCCUACGGGAGGCAGCAGUAGGGAAUCUUCCGCAAUGGACGAAAGUCUGACGGAGCAACGCCGCCGUGAGUGAUGAAGGUUUUCGGAUCGUAAAACUCUGUUGUUAGGGAAGAACAAGUACCGUUCGAAUAGGGCGGUACCUUGACGGUACCUAACCAGAAAGCCACGGCUAACUACGUGCCAGCAGCAGC